rnacentral:rRNA from 1 species
CCUACGGGUGGCAGCAGUGAGGAAUAUUGGUCAAUGGGCGCUAGCCUGAACCAGCCAAGUAGCGUGAAGGAUGACUGCCCUAUGGGUUGUAGACUUCUUUUAUAAGGGAAUAAAGUGCAGCAUGUAUGCCGCUUUGUCUGUACCUUAUGAAUAGGGAUCGGCUAACUCCGUGCCAGCAGCCGCGGUAAUACGGAGGAUCCGAGCGUUAUCCGGAUUUAUUGGGUUUAAAGGGAGCGUAGACGGGUUGUUAAGUCAGUUGUGAAAGUUUGCGGCUCAACCGUAAAAUUGCAAUUGAUACUGGCAGCCUGGAGUACAGUAGAGGUAGGCGGAAUUCGUGGUGUAGCGGUGAAAUGCUUAGAUAUCACGAAGAACUCCGAUUGCGAAGGCAGCUUACUAGACUGUAACUGACGUUGAUGCUCGAAAGUGUGGGUAUCAAACAGGAUUAGAUACCCCAGUAGUC